UACGGGGGGGGCAAGCGUUGUUCGGAAUUACUGGGCGUAAAGGGCUCGUAGGCGGCCAACUAAGUCAGACGUGAAAUCCCUCGGCUUAACCGGGGAACUGCGUCUGAUACUGGAUGGCUUGAGUUUGGGAGAGGGAGUGCGGAAUUCCGGAUGGUGAGCUGGUAGAAAUGCGUAGAUAUCUGGAGGAACACCGGUGGCGAAGGCGGCAUCCUGGACCAACACUGACGCUGAGUGAGCGAAAGCCAGGGGAGCAAACGGG
rnacentral:rRNA from 1 species